rnacentral:rRNA from 1 species
AUUGAACGCUGGCGGCAGGCCUAACACAUGCAAGUCGAGCGAGCGGCGGGCGGGUGAGUUAUGCCUGGGAAUUGCCCAGUCGAGGUGGAUACCAGUUGCAAACGACUGCUACUCCCUCAUACGAUUGGAUUGCCCAGGUGGGAUUAGCUAGUGGGUGAGGUAAUGGCUAACCAAGGCGACGAUCCCUAGCUGGUCUGAGAGGAUGAUCAGCCACAAUGGAACUGAGACACGGUCCAGACUCCUACGGGAGGCAGCAGUGGGGAAUAUUGCACAAUGGGGGAAACCCUGAUGCAGCCAUGCCGCGUGUGUGAAGAAGGCCUUCGGGUUGUAAAGCACUUUCAGCGAGGAGGCGUUACUCGCAGAAGAAGCACCGGCUAACUCCGUGCCAGCAGCCGCGGUAAUAC